rnacentral:rRNA from 1 species
UACACUCCUACGGGAGGCAGCAGUGGGGAAUUUUGGACAAUGGGCGAAAGCCUGAUCCAGCAAUGCCGCGUGAGUGAAGAAGGCCUUCGGGUUGUAAAGCUCUUUUGUCAGGGAAGAAACGGUGAGAGCUAAUAUCUUUUGCUAAUGACGGUACCUGAAGAAUAAGCACCGGCUAACUACGUGCCAGCAGCCGCGGUAAUACGUAGGGUGCAAGCGUUAAUCGGAAUUACUGGGCGUAAAGCGUGCGCAGGCGGUUUUGUAAGUCUGAUGUGAAAUCCCCGGGCUCAACCUGGGAAUUGCAUUGGAGACUGCAAGGCUAGAAUCUGGCAGAGGGGGGUAGAAUUCCACGUGUAGCAGUGAAAUGCGUAGAUAUGUGGAGGAACACCGAUGGCGAAGGCAGCCCCCUGGGUCAAGAUUGACGCUCAUGCACGAAAGCGUGGGGAGCAAACAGGAUUAGAAACCCUUGUAGUCCCAUGA